rnacentral:rRNA from 1 species
CCUACGGGUGGCAGCAGUGGGGAAUAUUGGACAAUGGGGGGAACCCUGAUCCAGCCAUGCCGCGUGUGUGAAGAAGGCCCUCGGGUUGUAAAGCACUUUCAGUGAGGAAGAACGCCUGGUGGUUAAUACCCAUCAGGAAAGACAUCACUCACAGAAGAAGCACCGGCUAACUCCGUGCCAGCAGCCGCGGUAAUACGGAGGGUGCGAGCGUUAAUCGGAAUUACUGGGCGUAAAGCGCGCGUAGGUGGCUUGAUAAGCCGGUUGUGAAAGCCCCGGGCUCAACCUGGGAACGGCAUCCGGAACUGUCAAGCUAGAGUGCAGGAGAGGAAGGUAGAAUUCCCGGUGUAGCGGUGAAAUGCGUAGAGAUCGGGAGGAAUACCAGUGGCGAAGGCGGCCUUCUGGACUGACACUGACACUGAGGUGCGAAAGCGUGGGUAGCAAACAGGCUUAGAUACCCCGGUAGUC